rnacentral:sRNA from 1 species
CUUUUUACGAUAUAAUACAAUUAGUAGAAAAGUUAAGACGGUAGCUAUUUCCUGUAAAAGGGGGCGUGCUUAUGGUGUAAAAGCCUUAGCAAAACCAUAUCCUAAUGAAAGGAGUAGCCAGGGUGUCAGUAUCAGACGCCUUACAACUAAUGUUGGCUUUCGGUACGUUUAUCGUUGCCUUAAUUGCAC